GACGAACGCUGGCGGCGUGCUUAACACAUGCAAGUCGAACGGAAAGGCCCUGCUUUUGUGGGGUGCUCGAGUGGCGAACGCGUGAGUAACACGUGAGUAACCUGCCCUUGACUUUGGGAUAACUUCAGGAAACUGGGGCUAAUAUCGGAUAGGAGCUCCUGCUGCAUGGUGGGGGUUGGAAAGUUUCGGCGGUUGGGGAUGGACUCGCGGCUUAUCAGCUUGUUGGUGGGGUAGUGGCUUACCAAGGCUUUGACGGGUAGCCGGCCUGAGAGGGUGACCGGCCACAUUGGGACUGAGAUACGGCCCAGACGCCAACGGGAGGCAGCGGUGGGAAAUAUGGCACAAUGGGCGGAAGCCUGAUGCAGCAACGCCGCGUGCGGAAUGACGGCCUUCGGGUUGUAAACCGCUUUCGCCUGUGACGAAGCGUGAGUGACGGUAAUGAGUAAAGAAGCACCGGCUAACUACGUG
rnacentral:rRNA from 1 species